rnacentral:rRNA from 1 species
UAAAAUUUUCAAAACGGGCAUUUAAUGGAAACCUUGGUAGAAAAAAUUAGGACGUUGCGCUACGAAAAGCUAUAAGUAGGUAUCGACCUGUGAUUUAUAGAUUUCCUUCAAUGAGUAAACUCAUUUUUUAAUAAAUCAUGUGAAUUGAAUCAUCUUAGUAACAUGUAAUAAAAUCAAACGAGAUUUUGUGAGUAACGGUGAGUAAAAGCAAAUUAAGCUGAAUAUAAAUUUUAUGUUUAUAAUUUCUUAUUAAAGAAAGCUCAAGAAGGUUCAAGUCCUGUAAUAAAAAUUUAAAAUUUAUUAAAUAUUAAAGUAAUAUGAAAAUUUUAUUUUGUAUGAAAAUGGGAGAACCACCUUCCAAGCUUAAAAUUUUUUUUAACCGAUAGUGUACGAGUAUCGUGAGAGAAAGGUAUUAGAUUCGAUAGAAUUUUUUAAAAUUAGAUGUUUAUAAGUUUCGGAGUUUAUAGCAACGAAUUGCCUUUUGCAUAAUGAGUCAGUAAGUUAAUAAAUAUAGCAAGCUUAAAUAAAUAUAUUUAUGCAAUUAUAUAGAGUUAUAUGUAUUAAACCUGAAACCGAGUGAUCUAUCCAUAAGCAGGUUGAGGAUUUCUUAAAAAAUUUCUGAGGACCGAACUUUAUUAUGUAGCAAAAUAUGAAGAUGACUUGUGGUUAGGAGCGAAAGACUAAUCAAACUCGGCGAUAGCCGGUUUUUCACGAAAUGUAUUUAAGUACUACGUUAAUUAUUUAUUUUAAUAUUUUAGGUAGAGUAACAAAAUGAAUAAGGGGGUUCAAUAAAACUUACUAAAUUUUUUUAACUCCGAAUUUAAUAUUAAUAAUAUUAACAGACAGUCUUUAGGCGAUAAGGUUUAAAGACAAAAGGACAACAAUCCAGACCGAAUAUUAAGAUUUCUAAAUUAUAACUCAGGGAAUAAGAUUUUUAUUAAAUACAAAUAAUUUUAGAAUAGGCUUAGAAGCAGCCUUUUAUUAGAGAAAGCGUUUUAGCUCAUUAUUUUAUUGUUUAAUUUAAAUCAAAAAUUAAUAGAAACUUUAAGUUAUAUAUCGAAGUAGCGGAUUAAUUGAAUUUUUUCAAUUAAUGGUAGUGAAACAUUCUGUAAUUUUUUAAUUGUAAAAUUAACAAAGUAAAAUCAGAAGAGCUAAUGCUGACAUGAGUAGCGUAAAUUAUGUUUAAAAUCAUAAUCGUUUAAUGUUUUAGGGUUUCAACGCAAUUUUAAAAUCGUUGAGUGAGUCGGUUCUUAAAAAGGGGAUGACAAUCGUAUUUGAUAGGAAUUUAAAUAAAAACUUUUUAUAUGUGUUAAAACAUGAAAAAAGGUAAUUUUAAAACUUUUCUAAACAAGGUUAAAAAGUAAAGAAGAACCUUUCGAGAAAAAAUUAUAUUAAUACAAACCGUACUUAAUCCGACACAGGUAAAUUUAUUGAGAAAAUUAAAACGGAUGAAAGAAUUAUAUUGAAGGAAUUCGGCAAAUUAACUCUGUACGUUCGCAAUAAAGAGAGCCGUUUUUAGCGGGAGCAUAAAAAAAAGCAACGACUGGUUAUCAAAACCAUAGGACUCUGCAAAUUAAAAAAAAGUAUAGAGUCUGACGCCUGCCCAGUGCUUAAAGAUAAUAAAUAUAAGUGCAAGCUUAUAUUUUAAUUCUAAGUAAACGGCGGUUCUAACUAUAAGGAUCCUUAGGUAGCGAAAUUCCUUGACGGGUAAAUUCCGUCCUGCAUGAAUGGCGUCACGAUUGCUUUACUGUCUCCAAUAUAAAUUCAGCGAAAUUACAAAAUCUAUGAAAAUGUAGAUUACUUACAGUAAGACGGAAAGACCCUAGAUCCUUUACUUUAUUUUUAUAUUGUAAAAAAUUAUAUAUUGAACAGAAAAAGUGGGAAUAGCUUUUGUUAUUAUAAUGAGAUACCACUCAAAAUAUAAAUUUUUACUUAUUUAUAGUUAAUAUUAUAAACAUAGUAUAAAAAAGGAAGUUUACUUGGGAUGAGUACCUCCUAAAAUGUAACGGAGGUGUACAAAGGUAAAUUACAGCUAUUUAUAUAAAAAUAGUGUAGAGCAUAAUGGUAUAAAUUUGCUUGACAAUUAGAUUUAUAAAUCAAAUUGGGACGAAAGUCAGUCAUAAUGACCCGAUAUUAUAGGGUGGAAUUAAUAUCGUUCAACAGCUAAAAGGAACUCUAGGGAUAACAGAUUCAUCGUGAUUGAGAGUUCGUAUUGAUGUCACGGUUUGAUACCUCGAUGUCGACUCAUCUUAUCCUGAAAUUGAAGCAGAUUUCAAGGGUCUAGUUGUUCGCUAGUGAAAAAGGUACGUGAGUUGGGUUCAGAACGUCGUGAGACAGUUCGGUCCCUAUCUACUGUAAGAAUGAAAAAUAAAAAGAAUAUUUUUAGUACGAGAGGACUGAAAUAUAUUAACCUCUAGUAAGUUGAUUGUUAAACCAUUAGCAUUGUCAGGUAGCCAAGUUAAUUUUGUAUAUGUACUGAAAGAAUCAAAAGUACUAAAACACCUUUAUUUUAUUUUUCCAGAAUAUUCUAAAAGAUAAUUAGAUUGAUCGGUUUAUAAAAAAUAUUAGUAAUAAUCAUUUUAAUAAAUACGAAAUAUUCAUGAAAAUUUUA